CUGCGAAUGGCUCAUUAUAUAAGUUAUCGUUUAUUUGAUAAUACUUUACUACUUGGAUAACCGUGGUAAUUCUAGAGCUAAUACAUGCUGAAAAUCCCGACUUCGGAAGGGAUGUAUUUAUUAGAUUAAAAACCAAUGCCCCUCGGGGCUCUCUGGUGAAUCAUGAUAACUAGUCGAAUCGACAGGCCUUGUGCCGGCGAUGGCUCAUUCAAAUUUCUUCCCUAUCAACUUUCGAUGUUUGGGUAUUGGCCAAACAUGGUGGCAACGGGUAACGGAGGGUUAGGGCUCGACCCCGGAGAAGGAGCCUGAGAAACGGCUACUACAUCCAAGGAAGGCAGCAGGCGCGCAAAUUACCCAAUCCCGACACGGGGAGGUAGUGACAAUAAAUACUGAUACAGGGCUCUUUUGGGUCUUGUAAUCGGAAUGAGUACAAUUUAAAUCCCUUAACGAGGAACAAUUGGAGGGCAAGUCUGGUGCCAGCAGCCGCGGUAAUUCCAGCUCCAAUAGCGUAUAUUAAAGUUGUUGUGGUUAAAAAGCUCGUAGUUGAACCUUGGGCCUGGCUGGCCGGUCCGCCUCACCGCGUGCACUGGUCCGGCCGGGCCUUUCCCUCUGCGGAACCCCAUGCCCUUCACUGGGUGUGGCGGGGAAACAGGACUUUU
rnacentral:rRNA from 1 species